rnacentral:rRNA from 12 species
AAAACGAUGCCGACUGGGGAUUGGCAGGUGUUUUGGUGAUGACCCUGCCAGCACCUUAUGAGAUAUCAACAUUUUUGGGUUCCGGGGGGGAGUAUGGUUGCAAGGCUGAAGCUAAAAGG